AGUGGCGGGGGAGCGACUAACCGGCCCAGUUGGGUACGGAGGAAGUUCUGCCCACCGAUGAAUUUGCGCGCCUGAUAAAAAGGGCGCGGGAAAUCCCCCGAAGCGCUUAAGGCGCAAUCGGAAACAGAAACGAUACCUGCCCUUUCCAAUGAGAAUGAGGGAACGAGAGGGAGGGGAUGUGGCUGAAACGGUCCGUGCGGGCAUAGAUAUGUGCGGUGCAAGGCUUUAAGCCGCUUAGUCCAAUGUCGCUUAGAAACAGAAGGCAGGCUACCACCUGCCACU
rnacentral:RNase_P_RNA from 1 species